UCAGCCUGCUAGGUCUCAUUCUAGGCUCUUGGUGACUUACUCUGAGCCCCUGGGCCUCAGUAGCCCCUGUUCUUUCACCCUGGCGGAAGAGUUUGGAAACCAUCUCCUCUGAGCUGCUAGAGACCCCCUAGAAACACAAACUUGAUUGUUUCUCCCUUCUUCUAUAAUUCUCAUGGCUCCACCCCAUCAGAGACAAAAAAAAAAAAAAAAAAAAAAAAAAAGUCCCCACAUCCCUGCAGGCCUGCCACUUCUCAGAACGUAACCCCUCGUCCAGCCACACCAGUCCCUUUGUUGGUCUAGAAAAGCCAUUCUCAACGUGUGGGUUGUAACCCAAAGAUCAACCCUUUCACAGGGGUCACCUAAGACUGUUGGAAAACACAGAUAUUUACUUACGAGCAAAAUAACAGUAUGAAGUCGCAACAAAAAUAACUUUAUGGUUGGGGGUCACCACAACAUGGGGAGCUGUAAAGGGUCACAGCAUGAGGACUGUUAAGAACCUAGAACAUUCUAAGCUGUCCCCUUGGCAGGCCUCCCUUUAUAAUACUGGUCACAUGGGAGUAGAGACCUUAUGGCUUGAUGGUCUGUCCCUGUGGGGCAGGUGAGAUGGCUCAGCAGAUUAAAACACUUGUUGUGGGGCCUGGUAACUGUCAUUUGGUCCCCAGGACCCAUGUGGUAGGAGGAGGGACCUGACUCCAGCAAAUUGUUUUCUGAGCUCCACAGACAUGCUAUGGUACUCUCAUGCCCAGACAAAUACAUAAGAAUUUUCCUCCUCCUCCUCCUCCUCCUCUUCCUCCUCUUCCUCUUCUUCUUCCUCUUCUUCCUCCUCUUUCUCCUCCUCUUCUUCCUCCUUCUUUUGUAUUUUCUUUUUUUCUCUUAUUUAUUAGAUAUUUUCUUUAUUUACAUUUCCAAUGUUAUCUCCUUUCCUGCUUUCCCCUCUGAAAUUCCCCUCCCCCUUCAUUUUCCUUUUUGAGAUAGGCUCUCCCUGUGUAGCUCUGCCUGGCUGGAAUGCACUAUGUAUCUCAGGCUGGUUUUGAACUCAGUGAUCUGUCCGCUUUAGCCUCUUAAGUGCUGGGAUUGAAGGUGUGGACCACCACACCCAGCUAUACAUACAAUUUCUU
rnacentral:lncRNA from 1 species